UCUUACAUUGGUACAAGAGUGACCUCAAUCUCCCAAGCAUCUAAUGUUUUCAAGCUUGAAUCCAACCCGAGUGAAUCCACACUCAAUGUUGAAAACCCUAGUUACAAGUUUCGUCCAUGGGGGCCUUUCUCUAAAGAGAAAUAUUUCUAAGUGUUACAACUUCAAUAUCCAACAAAAACUAAGUAGUAAAUGACCUAACAUAUUCUAUUUAUAGUAGGAUAUAAAAAUAGUGUGAAAUGUCCAAAAGACCUCUUAGUUAAAUGCUUCACUUUAGGCUCUCUUGGAGUAUAGAAUGUGGACUAUUUUUGGAGCCUAUUUAGGCCCUCCUUUUCACUUCAUUUGAACACUCCAAGUCUUGAGUUCAGUACAUCUCAUAUAUGUCCACCUUCGUAGUCGUACUCAUGUCAUCCUCCCCUUCUUAAAAAGGGAUUCGACCUUGAAUCCUCUUCUUGCAAAAUCAAAGAAGGACAAACAAGUAAAACAUCCUCAUGUCAUGAGGGUUAGGAUUACCAAAAUACACACAUUACAUGCCAUGCGAAGGUGGGACAAACUUGGAGUAUACCUACGAGUCCUUUGUGUUAAACAUGAAAACCUUAGUAUAAAUGGUACAAAGGAAGAGGUCAUCAUCAACAAAAAGAGACAAGGAAGAACCUUGCCUUUCUUCAUUACCACCCACAAUCAAAUAUUGCUUGUCGUCUUGACCAAGCAUCAAGUGGGAAAUGUAGAAAUUCCUACAUUCCAGGAAGGUGUCGGGGUUAAAUGAGAGAAUUAUCCAAGGGUCUAAGCCUAGGUUAACCCUUCUUCCCCUAGAAUGUCACUCCCACAACUACACAUGACAUUUUUCUUUAAGAGAAGACUAACAUUAAAGAAUAGAGAGACAUGGCCUAGAAGUCCUACCUUAAAAAGACAUAUGCCAUCAGUUAUAACAUUUCCAUACACAUGAUCUCUAUGAACAAAACUACUAACAAGUAUUUUACCACACACGAUGUUUAAAGAGUCACGUGCACCAUCAAGAUCAACUCUAUAAACACCAUCACUAACUUGAGAUUUUUUAAGCAAGCCACACAUAUGCUCAAGUAGAGGAAUACAUUUAUGAGUAAGUUGAUCUUCAUUCACAUCCUCACUAGUUGUUGGCAACUCACAUACCAAAGUAGACUCACCUUGGUUCGCACAAGGAUCAACUAGUGUGUGAUUACUCUUGUCAAUUGGUAAUAGAACCUUGUUCAAGUUAUAAGGGCUAGCACUAGAUGAAAAUAAAUCAUCCUUACAAGAAGAAUCAAUUUUGUCAUCUAAAGGAUCAACUAGUGCUUGUAUACUUACAACAAGAGUUUGGUCCUCACGUAACCUAACAUUACCAAGAGUAUCACCAUAGGGAGACUCAAACAUCUCUACUCUAGAUAAAUUCGCAACUACAUCCAAUUGGCCACUACUAGCCAUAACACAAUAUUCUAAGUUCAUAGGAGUGUAGGAAAUAGUAGGGAAUAGUGUUUUUACCUCAUAGCUCAUAUGAGCUAUGGCCUUUCUCUUGACUUGUGUCCGGGAAACCUACUUGCUCCCUUUGACCUACCAUCGAUCCAAUCUUUCAUUUGCCAUAGAUAGGUCUCGGGACAUAGUGUCAAGGUAGGCCAAAAUGACAUUGGUGGAAUUGUUAUCCAUGGGUUGAGAGGUGGAAGCCGCGGGUUACCUUGUAAUUAUACCUAAAAAAAAAGAAAAAAAAGAAUACACCUAUUAAAUAAAACACAAGUUAGUUCGAAAGAAUCUCACCACACUCUCGCACACUUGAUCGUCUCACACUUGGUUUACAAGUGUUGAAAACUGGCUUGUACUUCGCGAGUGAUUGAGGGUCGAGCCUACUCUUUCCUGGAAUAGAUUUUUGUUUGAGUUGACUCAAGAAAAAUUUGUUUACGGACUUGAACCAACAAGAUACAAUGACUUUACAAAAGAGAAAAGCACACAACAAUGCUUAACACGAAUAAACGGACACAAAGACAAGCUAACAAUCUAGUAGAUGAGUACUAGUUUGCCAAUUAGUAUUGGAACCAACAAAAGUGAAAUGAAGGAAUAACAAAAGGUAACUAAGAGAUCAAAAUUUUAAGCCAAAAUUAUUGCGUGAACAGUAAUAAUGAUGACGUGGAAACACGUAAUUGGUUGCGGUUUCUAACAAUUUUUGUUGUCCAAUCUCAAGUCUUUGGUUAAUUUAUAAUUUAGGAAUUGGAAUUUGGUUAAUGGAGGGAGGUACAAGUGUUGGAGCCCUUUUGAAAUUCAAACACAAAUAGUCAUGAAUUGACUAGUACUUUUCCUCAAAAUGUGGGUCCUUGUUUUAUGGAAAAUGGUUGAGAUAUGAUUGACUAGUUGGUGAGUGAUGGUAAGUCUUUCAAGACUAACAAAGUUCUCACACCUUUUUUUUUCUCCUUUUUGGAUCUAAAUUUUACUCUAUUUUAAAAAGAUAUGAAGGUUGUGAAGAACUUCAAGAACAACAUCAAGAAUCACCAAGAACAACCAACAACAAUCUCCAAGACACCAACAAUUUUCACACGGCCAACUUUCAAUUUUCAUAAUACAAUAUCUUCAACACUUGGCCAAGACAACUACAACUUCAACAAAGUGGUUCUUAGGCCACCAAUGAACGAAAAUAUAAUGUGGCCAAGCUUAGAAUAACAACAAUAUGAAGACCACAAGGCCAAAAUAGUCCACCACAAUAAUGUUUUAACAAUAAUUUGGCCAAGCCUUAUGUUCACAAUAACAACACCAACAAUGUAAGCUCAAACUUAGAUUUAGACUCAAGAGUAUCAGAGAUGAAUAAAACUAACACUAUAAACAACAAAACAAGUAAAAAAUAUAGUCCAAGACACAACAUAACACAAUUUCGGCCAAUAACACAAAAUAGACAGAUUUGCUUCUUUUUGAUUUUUCAGUUUUCUAACAUUCUUUUUUUUUUUAAUUUUCUAUCAAGAAAGCCCAAGAUUGAUCUUAUAAGAACAAGAUUAAGACAGACUAUGAUACCAAAUGAUACAAGGCAAACAAGAAAGACACAAAAAACACCCCAAAUUAGUCCACAAAUCUUAAGGAUCCGAGGGCCAAGAUGGAGACCACUCUCGAAUUCACUACAACAACAAAAAUACAAGAAUACAAGGGUGUUUUUGACACAAAAUUAGUCACCAAAACGUGAAUAUUAGAAGAAUCUAGACAACAAUAUGAUAAGAACAAUAACAACAAUAAAUGACUUGUACUAAACAAGAGGAAACACCACAAGAUUACAAUAAAAGAAAAAGGAUAGAUAGAUAGACCAAUGGUUGAUAUAAUCUUAAGAACCCAAGAGCCUAUUCCACUCUUGGACCCUUAACACCACACACAAGAAAAAACCUAUCUCUUACAUUGGUACAAGAGUGACCUCGAUCUCCCAAGCAUCUAACUUUUUCAAUCUUGAAUCCAAUCCAAGUGAAUCCACACUCAAUGUUAACAACCCUAGUUACAAGUUUCGGCCAUGGGGGCCUUUCUCUCAAGAGAAAUGUUUAUAAGUGUUAAAACUUCCAUAUCCAACAAAAACUAAGUAGUAAAUGACCUAACAUAUUCUAUUUAUAGUAGGUUACAAAAAUAGUGUGAAAU
rnacentral:lncRNA from 1 species